UACGAAGGGGGCUAGCGUUGCUCGGAAUGACUGGGCGUAAAGGGCGCGUAGGCGGUUUGUACAGUCAGAUGUGAAAUUCCCGGGCUCAACCUGGGGGCUGCAUUUGAUACGUGCGGACUUGAGUGGGGAAGAGGGUCGUGGAAUUCCCAGUGUAGAGGUGAAAUUCGUAGAUAUUGGGAAGAACACCGGUGGCGAAGGCGGCUCACUGGCUCAUUUCUGACGCUCAGGCGCGACAGCGUGGGGAUCAAACAGG
rnacentral:rRNA from 1 species